CAGAACUUAAAGGAAUUGACGGGGCCGCACAAGCGGUGGAGCACGUGGUUUAAUCGAUGAUACGCGAGGAACCUUACCUGGGCUCAAAUGUAUGUUGACGUAUUCUGAAAGGGAUACUUCUUCGGACAAUAUACAAGGUGCUGCAUGGUUGUCGUCAGCUCGUGCCGUGAGGUGUCGGGUUAAGUCCCAUAACGAGCGCAACCCCUAUCAUUAGUUGCCAUCAGGUCAAGCUGGGGACUCUAAUGAAACUGCCUACGCAAGUAGUGAGGAAGGUGGGGAUGACGUCAAAUCAGCACGGCCCUUACGUCCAGGGCUACACACGUGCUACAAUGGCCGGUACAAAAGGCAGCUACCUGGUGACAGGAUGCUAAUCUCAAAAGCCGGUCUCAGUUCGGAUCGGAGUCUGCAACCCGACUCCGUGAAGCUGGAAUCGCUAGUAAUCGCGCAUCAGCCAUGGCGCGGUGAAUACGUUCCCGGGCCUU
rnacentral:rRNA from 1 species